GGCCACUUGGAGUCCAAAGCCACAG
rnacentral:piRNA from 2 species